GACAGAGGGUGCAAACGUUGUUCGGAUUUACUGGGCGUAAAGCGCGUGUAGGCGGCUUUGCAAGUCGGAUGUGAAAGCCCACGGCUCAACCGUGGAAGUGCAUCCGAAACUGCAUGGCUCGAGUCUCGGAGAGGAAGGUGGAAUGCUUGGUGUAGAGGUGAAAUUCGUAGAUAUCAAGCAGAACACCUGCGGCGAAGGCGGCCCUCUGGACGAUGACUGACGCUGAGACGCGAAAGCGUGGGGAGCAAACGGG
rnacentral:rRNA from 1 species